AAAUUGAAGAGUUUGAUCAUGGCUCAGAUUGAACGCUGGCGGCAGGCCUAACACAUGCAAGUCGAACGGUAACAGAAAGCAGCUUGCUGCUUUGCUGACGAGUGGCGGACGGGUGAGUAAUGUCUGGGAAACUGCCUGAUGGAGGGGGAUAACUACUGGAAACGGUAGCUAAUACCGCAUAAUGUCGCAAGACCAAAGAGGGGGACCUUCGGGCCUCUUGCCAUCGGAUGUG
rnacentral:rRNA from 1 species